GUUGUAAACGAAUCGAAUAUUUUUGCUCGAUUCGAUAUUCGAUUCGAAAUUUUGAUAUUCGUAUUCGAAAUUAUUCGAUUCGUAUUCGAUUAUAAAUAUUCGAUUCGAUUCGAUUAAUAAACGAAUCGAAUAUGAAAUUUUGAUAUUCGAUUCGAUAUUCGUAUGUAUUCGAUUCGAUUAAUAAAUAAAUAGAUAAAUAUAUAUAUAUAUAUAUAUAUAUAUAUAUAUAUCUAUCUAAUUUUAAAAUAUUAAAUUAGAUAUUAAAAAAAUUGAAAAUUUGAGAUACACGCCUAUUCCUUAAAUUUCAAACACACACCUAUCCCACGCGGGCCACGCCUGUAUCCCUAUUAUUUGAAACACACGCAUUUUCCCUUUACAUUGCUUUUUCUCUCUCAUUUCAUUAACCUAAAUUUGAAACACACACCUAUUUGUUUCCGCCGCCCCGCCCCCCACACACCAAACCACUAUCGCCGCCCUCACGGCUCACACGCUGCCAGCUCCAGCCAGCCUUCUCUGCCGCCGCCGCCCACACCCUACUGACGUCGUUGGAUCCUCAGCCUUCUCCGCUGCGGGCUGCCCGUCGCCACUCGCCAGCAACUAACGUCGCUCGUCUCCAGUCGCCAGCACCCCGCCACGGCGUCGCCUCUCCUCCAACUGUCGUCUGCUGCUGCCGUAUACUAGCAGGAGCAAGAAGAACCUUUCCAUGUGAUGUUGAAGUCCACUUAGUUUACAAGCUUGGUGGAAGAUUGGAUGUUUGACAUUGUUUUAUUGAAGUGUUGUUUUGAUGAAUUUGAAACCUAUCUUUAUUUUAUGUAUUGCAAACUUUUGAAUGUUAUGAUGUGUAUUGAGAAUUUAAAUGGUGGAAUCAUCAAAUGAGCUUUU